rnacentral:lncRNA from 1 species
GCAAUUAUUGCAAAUUAACCACUUUGAUGUUAAUCAUUUCUAUUUGUGCUUCUCUCCGACUUGAUUUUUUAUGUCUCCAGAAGAGGUAGCAUCAGCAUCCUCAGAAGAUGCCAACUUUUUGAGUCAUCGACAUCCUUUAAAGAUACAGGGGGAUCACCUUGAGCUCCAGAAAUGCAAAUCAACUGGAAAAACACCAGCUGGCCUUAAUCUUUCAACAUUGCAGUUGAGUCUGCCUCAUGUCAGCAGGCUAGCAGGAAUCCCGUCUGUUGCGACAGGCUUGGUGUCCUCAGAGAUGUUGUGGUUCCUGCUCCUCCAUCUUCCUUGGAGUUUUGACUUCUGUCUUCCCGUUGUCACCUCAACUUUGCAAGGCACCUUUUCUCAAAACCCAGCCAUCACGUGCAGCUUCCAAGCAAGAACAGGAGGAUGAUGCGGGGAAAAAUAGCUCUUUCACCAUGACAGGAUCCUCAUGCGAAUGAGGCAAAGGGUCAGCACACUGGCCGGCUGCCCCUCCAGGCUGCGGAAUCCUGUGGUCAACACCGAGUGCCAUCCGGCCAGGGCUGGGGACCCAGGCAGCUCCGGCAGACAAACAAGAACAGAUGACUACGAAGACCGGAUAGAGCGCAGAGGAAAGGCAGAGACGUCGGAGAACCUCGGAGAGCCGUUUGGGGUAUUUGGUAAAGCAUCCUGGCUUAGUGCAGGUUUGUUCAAAACAGCAGUGUUUUAGGACUCUAAAGUGAUGCAUUAUGACAACUUUUCAUCUUCCAUUCUAGGCUGUUAACUGAAGUAUGUAUGAAGAUAACAACAAUUACUUUAAAGGACUUUGAAGAAAUGCAUCGAUUUUUAAAAAGUGUAAUGUAAGAGAAAACCAAGGAGCUAAAGGUGUAGGGAAGGUGUGAUACGUAGGGGAAGAACAAAAAGGGAAAAGAAAAAAAUGUGAGAGAAUGAAAAGAUGAAAAUAAAGUGUUUGUAGAUGGGGAGGGGAGGAGGGGGUGAAGGGAGGGCAGAGGUAAGGGGAAAAAAAUGAGAAUCAAGACUUGCCAUGUAAAGGUACAUGAUCCCAACAAUGAAUGUAACUGUACUGUAUCCCUAAAUGUACCAAUAAAAUCAAUAAAAAAAAAAAGAAAAAAGAAAAAGAAAGAGAAAACCAAUAUGCGACGGUCACCAAGUGGGCGGAGUGACGGAGCGGGCCCUGCCAGGAGUCGAGUUGCCAAUGAGCCAGCUGCUGCUCUUCCGAAGCCUGAAGUGAAGCCAAGCGUUCUGGGGUCUCCUUGGGAGACAGGCAGCCUUGUUCCUCUGGGAGAGCAACUCUCACGAGGGAGGACUUUGUGUCCAAAGAUUUAACAUUCAGUCACUAAUUAACAUCGGGUAGUCUUGCUGAGCCUCUUGGCGUUGCAAGGCAGUCUCCUCCUCCUCCUCGGAUCCUCCACUGGGAAUGAAUUGUCCUCUCAGACCCCUUCCGCUCCCGUUUCCUUUCCGGGCACUGCUCCUAGGAAAGCUAUUGUACACUGCUCACCCUGUUUUCCUGCCUACUUCUCUGAGGAACCAAACUGGCACCGAUCUCAAUAAUUUUCCAGUUAUAUAAACACAAAUAUACUUUAAAGGAUCAAUAAACGCAUAGUUGUCCAAACUACAGAUAAAGAGAAAAGGAAUAAAGUCGACAAGGUCUGUCAUGAAAAGUGAGUAACUAUAGCUACUAAGGAG